rnacentral:rRNA from 1 species
UACAGAGGUGGCAAGCGUUGUUCGGAAUUACUGGGCGUAAAGGGCGCGUAGGCGGUCUGGUCAGUCCCUUGUGAAAUCCCCCCGGCUCAACUGGGGAACUGCACGGGAAACAGCCGGGCUUGAGUUCGGGAGAGGGAAGCGGAAUUCCGGGUGUAGCGGUGAAAUGCGUAGAUAUCUGGAGGAACACCGGUGGCGAAAGCGGCGUCACUGGACCUGACUCUGGACACUGAGGUGCGAAAGCUAGGGUAGCAAACGGG